rnacentral:lncRNA from 1 species
GCUACUUGAGAGGCUAAGGCAGGAGAAUCGCUUGAACUCAGGAGGCAGAGGUUGCAGUGAGCCGAGAUUGCACCAUUGCACUCCAGCCUGGGUGACAGCAAGACCCCAUCACAAAAAAAAAAAAAAAAAACAGUAAAAAUUAUCCAUAUGUCUGUCAUUAGAAAGACUCCUGCACAGCCAGUUUAUUUGGAAGGUGACUCCAAGAGGGGAUCAUGGGACCAGGGAGAAUGAGGCGGGGAAGAUUGAAAAGCCCAAUUAAAAAUGGAAGUUGAUCACUCCUGAAAGCAACAGCACUUGAUUCUGCCUCCUGAAUAACUUACAGAAUUGCCCACUGGCGGUCAGGAGGUGGGAGCACAGCCAUUAGAGAGAAACUCUAGAGAAAAAAAGCAAAACAACUCAAGACACAUACUUGAGUCAAGAUGCUGUCAGCACAAGCUGAUUCUACAUUCACGUGGAACUGUCCCCUUCAAGUGUGGCUGACAUCAGAGGUGGCCCAACUGGACAUGUCAUGAGGCUCCUGCAGUACCCAACUCCUACCCCCAGCAAGAACGAAAACUAGAGAAGAAGAUACAAAUAUCUAUUGGCUGAUGAAGAGUCUACUCCACUCAGGAAAGAACAUGUGGAAACCAUGAGAAAUGAAAGUACCCCGCCAAACCCAGCCAAAUCCAACCUCACCUCUCCUAGACACUUCCCCCUACAGUUUCUGGAGUUUCCCAGCUUCCUUGAGCAGGGAGCUUGCUCUUGAGAGAAGUGACUUCAGCUGAGGCAUUUCCCGCAGUGUGGACUGAAAGCUGAGGGUUAUUUGCUGGCAGUACUCCCAGAACUUGACUGGACUCAAACAUCUGGCCUCAAGUGAUCCUCCUGCUUUGGCCUCCUAAAGUGUUGAGAUUACAGACAUGAAUCACCGCACUCAGCCUGAGACAUACUUCUUUAAUUCCUGUAACAUUAUUUUAUGCUUUGAUACCUGAUGGAUAAUGCAGGGCCAAGCUGCACCAUGUUCCUAAGAGAAAGCCAAGAACAUAAGUCACACAAGCCCUCAGGAAGAGAAGGAAAGAAUGAGUGACAGUAGACCGCAGAUGUGAGCAAAUUCAUGGAGGAUGGAAACUGAAUGAGGGAAUGGUGGCUGGCUUAACUUAACAGAGGAAAGUGCAUUCUAAAUACCUAUCAUAAAAGCAACAAAGAGAAUAAGCCUAUCCACUCCACACUUUGGAACUGCCUGUUUAAAAGUUGAUCCCCGGACCCCACCAAGUCUACAAGCUCCACCUCAAGGACAGAAUGGAAACUGUAUUCAUCGAGGGGCUUUUAAUUGACAAAUAAAAAUUGUAUAUAUUUAUCCAUGUAUAAUAUGAAGGUUUGAAAUAUGUAUACACUGGGGAAUGGCUAAAUCAAGCUAACUAACAUCUGCAUUACCUCACAUACUUAUUUUUUGUGGUGAGAACACUUAAAAUCUACUCUCUUAGUAAUUUUCAAGAGUACAAUAUAUUGUUAUUAACUAUAGUCACAAUGUUGUCUAGCAGACCCUUCUCAGAAUCUAACAAAAUGUUUGGCUAGUAAUAGGGGCUCAAAAAGUAUUUGUGAGUGAAAAGAGUGAAUAUAUUAAUUAAUUUGUUAAUGUAUUCACUGGCAGGUGUAUUUACCUAAUUCAGUCUUUAAAAUAAUGUUCUAUAUUCCAAGUUUUCCUUAGGGAGUUAACCCAAUAUUAUAGCUUGAUUGUUUACACAAGACCCAUAAAACAAACUAUAAUAGCAAUAGUCAACAAAGAGAUGAUAUUGGCAUAAUAUAAUGCUAUAUUGGUUUUAUUGUGCUGCCAUAACAAAUUACCAAAAAUUUAGUAUCUUAAAAC